GAUGGCUCAGAGGUUAAGAGCACUGACUGCUCUUCCAAAGGUCCUGAGUUCAAUUCCCAGCAACCACAUGGUGGCUCACAACCAUCUAUAAUGUGAUCUAAUGCCCUCUUCUGGCCUUUGAGCACUGUAUACAUAAUAAAUAAAAUCUUUUUUUAAAAAAA